GGGGCCGACCAGGUUUCGACGUGGGUACGGAUCCGGCGCAGGGCAUGCCGAGCACCAGUUCGCUCGUAAAUCCACUGGAAACAAAGUAACUGCGAACGACUCUUCGUACGCUCUCGCGGCUUAAAACCCGUGAGCCUCUCAACGGUUGGCCGAUGGGCCGGGUGAGGGAUCGCAAGAUUCUGAACUGAGAGGUCAUUCACAUUGGCUGGUCUCCUGCCGGGCUACUCGGCAGGGGAUGAGAUCAAGUAGCUGGCGUCACCGGUAGCGUGUUCCUGCGCGACCGGUGGUGCGAGACUCAAAUCAGAGAACUACGCAUGUAGAACUGUCCGGUGAUGGCUGACGGACGGGGGUUCAAUUCCCCCCGGCUCCACCA
rnacentral:tmRNA from 1 species